CUAUUUUGUGAGCCCUGGCUGUUGUAGCGUCCAGGGAUCACUUACUUUAUAGUUUUAACACUCAGAAUACAAAUACUUUUAAUGAGGUUACUUGGUGUUGGAGGAUAUAGAGAUAAGUGUAGAAUCUCAGAAAUGUCUAUAUGCGAUUAGGUUCAGCGCCCUCUUCGUUGGGCCUUUGUCCAGCCCGGUAGGAGUCUUGUUGUUUCCUGGGAGGAUCUUGUUGGCUCUGGUAGGAUGAAGCCCAAGCUCCGUAGUAAUUCCAGGCCUUCUUCCGGAGAGGAUAUUGCAACAGUCUUAUUAUUUCUGUGCACCAAGAGUUUAACUGGGUACCCGGGACGGCAAGCGCCUGGCAUGCAGAGCUCCUGUGACAUCCCUGAAGUCUAAGCGUUUUAUGGUAAAGACCGAUAUGUCCGCAUAAGGCUCGGACAGGUUUUUGUUGGUGCGAUUUGCUUUGAGGAUCUCUUCUUUGAUGUGGUAAUAAUGUAGCCUUACCAGAACGUCCCGCAGCACCUCAGGGGCCAGGAACGCAGGUUUGGCCGUUUGGUAAAGGCAGUUAAUCAUGAACAUGUCAGGGGAGAAGUCUAGGGCUAAAGUCUGCAGUAGCCCGGUAACACUCUGUCAGAUCCCCUUGUCCCACUUUUUCAGUGAUGCCGCGAAUACGGAUGUUGUUUCAUCUUACACGGUCCUCACUAUCCGCCAGUUUCAUUUCAUUUAAGUCCAUUUUGGAAGGGCAUUAUGGGCCUCAGCGAAUUCUGCCAUUUUGUCUUGUGGUCGAGGUUUGCGUGCUCAGGUCUUUUAGAUCCUUUCGGGGGUCAUUCAGCACAGCGUGGAAAUUGGCAAGUAGUUUGGCAGACAUGUCGUCUAACAUUGAGUAGCCCUUUGGUAACUGCAGGGUCUGUCUCCAUAGGGGUUAGGGCCUGGUCCGCGUCUGUAUUGACACCAUCUUAACUCAUCUCAGUGUGCGCCAGGUUUUUCCCCAAAGUUGCCUUGGAGGCAAAAAAGUUGGUCUUCUCCUGCCUCCCAGUGUUCCUCUUGCCUUUGAGUUGAGACAUUUUGUUUGAGCUCUGUUUUGUAGCUUAUUGCUCAGGUUUUCUGUAUUGUCAGGUCGGUGCAGCUAGAGCAUGCGACUGCGUCGAGCUGCAUCCAGGACAUGCUCCCCAGUGUCUCCUUUUGACAGCCGCUAGAGGCGCUCCUCUUUUUGCUCUCCUUUCAAGUUGAUGGUACCCAUAUCAGCCAAUCCUUGCAAGCCUGCUGUCUUGGUGUUAUACUUGAUUCUGGCCUCACCCUUGAGUCUCAUGUUCAGUCUGUUGCCAAAUCUUGUUGAUUCCACCUUAAAAACAUUGCCCACGUCCGCCAUUUCUUACUCAAGAUACUACUAAGGAGCUUGUUCAUGCUCUAGUAAUCUCUUGAAUUUAUUAUUGUAACUCCCUCCUAAUUGGUCUUACCAGAAGUCGUACUACCCCGCUACAGUCUGUAAUGAAUCCU